CUUGGUGGUUAUAGCAUGAGUCAAACACANGAUCCCAUCCCC
rnacentral:rRNA from 1 species